CCACUUUGACCAGGCACCUAAUACGACUAGUGCGAAUAAUAGGGCUCCCCUCGGGAAACUCCAGGCACCAAAUACAGCAGGUUCAAAUAAUAGGGCUCUCCCUCGUGUCACUCCAAGCACCAAAUACAGCAGGUUCAAAUAAUAGGGCUCUCCCUCGUGUCACCCCAGGCACCAAAUACAGCAGGUUCAAAUAAUAGGGCUCUCCCUCGUGUCACCCCAUGCACCAAAUACAGCAGGUUCAAAUAAUAGGGCUCUCCCUCGUGUCACCCCAGGCACCAAAUACAGCAGGUUCAAAUAAUAGGGCUCUCCCUCGUGUCACCCCAGGCACCAAAUACAGCAGGUUUAAAUAAUAGGGCUCUCCCUCGUGUCACUUCAGGCACCAAAUACAGCAGGUUCAAAUAAUAGGGCUCUCCCUCGUGUCACCCCAGGUACCAAAUACAGCAGGUUUAAAUAAUAGGGCUCUCCCUCGGGAAACCCCAGGCACCAAAUACAGCAGGUUCAAAUUAUAGGGCUUUCCCUCGUGUCACCCCAGGCACCAAAUACAGCAGGUUCAAAUAAAAGGGCCCUCUCUCGUGUCACCCCAGGCACCAAAUACAGCGGGUUCAAAUAAUAGGGCUCUCCCUCGUGUCACCCCAGGCACCAAAUACAGCAGGUUCAAAUAAUAAGGCUCUCCCUCGUGUCACUCCAGGCACCAAAUACAGCAGGUUCAAAUAAUAGGGCUCUCCCUCGGGAAACUCCAGGCACCAAAUACAGCAGGUUCAAAUAAUAGGGCUCUCCCUCGUGUCACCCCAGGCACCAAAUACAGCAGGUUCAAAUAAUAAGGCUCUCCCUCGUGUCACUCCAGGCACCAAAUACAGCAGGUUCAAAUAAUAGGGCUCUCCCUCGCGAAACCUCAGGCACCAAAUACAGCAGGUUCAAAUAAUAGGGCUCUCCCUCGGGAAACCUCAGGCACCAAAUACAGCAGGUUCAAAUAAUAGGGCUCUCCCUCGUGUCACCCCAGGCACCAAAUACAGCAGGUUCAAAUAAUAGGGCUCUCCCUCGCGAAACCUCAGGCACCAAAUACAGCAGGUUCAAAUAAUAGGGCUCUCCCUCGUGUCACCCCAGGCACCAAAUACAGCAGGUUCAAAUAAUAGGGCUCUCCCUCGGGAAACCUCAGGCACCAAAUACAGCAGGUUCAAAUAAUAGGGCUCUCCCUCGUGUCACCCCAGGCACCAAAACUGCUAGUGCAAAUGAUGUUCGCACUUGGCGUUCAAUUCCAAACAAAGUUGCAAUGGAAUAAGCACAGCAUUAGGGCUAGAAA